CACAAAAAAGGGAAGGCAAAGCAGCUACAGAAAGGGCAAUGAAAGUUCUUUUCUGCAUUAACAAAAACCAGCACUUGCAGAAGCGAAUCAACCAUACCGCCUACUCUCUCUCUCACUCUCUGAAACCAUUCUGUUCUCUCCUUCUUGUUCAUAAACUUCUCAUGCUUCUUUUGUGGUCUAUAUUCUCACUACUUCUGUGACCAACUUUGAUGUAUUCUAUACCAAAGGAACAUGAUUACAUAGGCUUGUCAGAGACUCCUUCAAUGGAAAAUAUCUCUGAAAAGCUCUCCUCUUCCUCUACUUCCUCCUCUACUCUCUCAACUGAAGAGAAAAACAACAGCAGCAGCAGCAACAACAACAACAACAAAAAUAACAAUACUUCUCUCAACAUGAAAGAAACUGAGCUAAGGCUUGGCUUGCCAGGGUCUCAGUCUCCAGAGAGAAAACCAACAGUACCCGCAGCUGGGGUGUCUCUUGUUGGAAAAGAUAUUGACACCAACAACACUAAUGCUUAUUCUCUUAUCCCAGUAAAGAAUUUAGUGUCAGGGGCUAAGAGAGUUUUCUCAGAUGCUAUUGAUGGGUCUACUGGGAAAUGGGUUUUCUCUGGUGGUAAUGGAUCUGAGGUUGAUUUGAGUAAAGGAGCUGUUCUGUUCUCUCCCAGAGGCGAUAAUGGUAACCCGCAGAAAUCUCGGGUAGCAGGACCUGCGAAGAAAGAUGUUGCUCAAUCUCCAAAGCCAGUUCAAGAGAAAAACAGCCAAGUGGCUGCUGCAAAUGAGAACAGCAGUGCUCCUGCUGCAAAGACACAGGUGGUAGGAUGGCCACCAAUUCGCUCGUUCCGGAAGAACACCAUGGCCUCUAGUUUGGCGAAGAACAAUGAAGAUGUCGACGGCAAAUCAGGAUAUGGUUACCUGUAUGUAAAGGUUAGCAUGGAUGGUGCUCCAUACCUUAGGAAGGUUGACCUUAAAACUUACGGCAAUUAUCUGGAGCUCUCAUCUGCUCUUGAGAAAAUGUUUGGCUGCUUCACCAUUGGACAAUGUGGUUCUCAUGGGCUUGCAGCGCGAGACGGCCUAACUGAGAGUUGUUUGAAGGAUCUACAUGGUUCUGAAUAUGUUCUCACAUUUGAAGACAAGGAUGGUGAUUGGAUGCUGGUUGGUGAUGUUCCUUGGGAGUAAGUCAUGUUUACCGACUCAUGCAGGAGAUUGAGGAUCAUGAAAGGUUCAGAAGCAAUUGGACUUGCCCCAAGGGCCAUGGAGAAAUGCAAGAACCGUAAUUAAUGUGAAGUGAUGAAGCUUCAGAAGGAUGUUUUCUGGAUUUUAAGAAAGCCUUAUAGUGUGUUCAGGUGAUGAGCGCUUCGCUCAUGAAGCAUAUGUUUGGAGAGUUUAUAAGAUCGUAGUAUUUAGUGAAAUGAAAAAAAAAAAUGGAAACUUUUUACUAGAUUGGAUGUCAUUGAGAAUGCAUCCAAAUUAUUUUAAGCUUGUUUAGCUUCCUUGUUUCCUCUUAGCUUUUCUUUUUCCAAGUGUACUUUAAUGUGUAAAUGAAUGGAUUGCUUGUGGGUAACAAGUCUUUGGCUCUC